ACGGUCAUAUCACAUAAAAACACCGGUUCUCCUACGAUCACCGAAGUUUAAGCAACGUUGAGCCUGGACAAUACUGGGAUGGGUGUCCGUUUGGGAGUACCAGUUUGAUG